rnacentral:rRNA from 1 species
UACGUAGGGUGCAAGCGUUGUCCGGAAUUAUUGGGCGUAAAGAGCUCGUAGGCGGUCUGUCGCGUCUGCUGUGAAAACUCAGGGCUUAACCCUGAGCUUGCAGUGGGUACGGGCAGACUAGAGUGCGGUAGGGGAGACUGGAAUUCCUGGUGUAGCGGUGAAAUGCGCAGAUAUCAGGAGGAACACCGGUGGCGAAGGCGGGUCUCUGGGCCGAUACUGACGCUGAGGUGCGAAAGCGUGGGGAGCAAACAGG